GAUGAAGAACGCAGCGAAAUGCGAUAAGUAAUGUGAAUUGCAGAAUUCAGUGAAUCAUCGAAUCUUUGAACGCACAUUGCGCCCCUUGGUAUUCCAUGGGGCAUGCCUGUUCGAGCGUCAUUUGUACCUUCAAGCCUUGCUUGGUGUUGGGUGUUUGUCUCGCCUCUGCGCGCAGACUCGCCUCAAAACAAUUGGCAGCCGGCGUAUUGAUUUCGGAGCGCAGUACAUCUCGCGCUUUGCACUCAGAACGACGACGUCCAAAAGUACAUUUUUACACUCUUGACCUCGGAUCAGGUAGGGAUACCCGCUGAACUUAAGCAUAUCAAAGCGGAGGA
rnacentral:misc_RNA from 1 species